rnacentral:tRNA from 1 species
GGGGCCAUAGCUCAGCCGGCAGAGCGCUUCGCUGGCAGCGAAGAGGUCAGGGGUUCGACUCCCCUUGGCUCCACCA